rnacentral:rRNA from 1 species
GGGGAAUAUUGGACAAUGGGCGAAAGCCUGAUCCAGCAAUGCCGCGUGAGUGAUGAAGGCCUUAGGGUUGUAAAGCUCUUUUACCAGGGAUGAUAAUGACAGUACCUGGAGAAUAAGCUCCGGCUAACUCCGUGCCAGCAGCCGCGGUAAUACGGAGGGAGCUAGCGUUGUUCGGAAUUACUGGGCGUAAAGCGCGCGUAGGCGGCUGUUCAAGUCAGAGGUGAAAGCCCGGGGCUCAACCCCGGAACUGCCUUUGAAACUAGAUAGCUAGAAUCAUGGAGAGGUCAGUGGAAUUCCGAGUGUAGAGGUGAAAUUCGUAGAUAUUCGGAAGAACACCAGUGGCGAAGGCGACUGACUGGACAUGUAUUGACGCUGAGGUGCGAAAGCGUGGGGAGCAAAC